rnacentral:lncRNA from 1 species
GCCCAACUAUUCCACAAUCUACCCACUAGUACAGGUAACAAUAACUUUGUUCAUCAAAACUCUAGGAUUAGUAAAAAAGGAUCGAAGAUGUGUCUCUCUUGGUGCACGUUAGCUUAACAUGUGCCCAUCAUGGGAAAGAGAGCUCAAGCUCCAUCUUUGAAGGCAAUAGUGGCACAAGAAGCUCAAGCUAGUCGCCCUGCAGCUCAACAAGGAAAGAAUAAGGCUGGGGGAAAUCUCCAGUAGCAACAGAAGGUGUAAAAACAUUGGGAGUAGAUUGCAAGUUCAAAUUCUACUACUAAAUUGAACUCUGCUGGUACAAGCAAGCUGUCUUGGGCAGAAUGCAAAUGAACUGGAAAAGAUGGAAGCUCUGAUUAGUUUGAAACCGUUUGGGGACAAUUUUGAUAUUUGGAAGGUGGUUAAUGCUGGGUUUAAACUUGAAUGCGUAGCUCCGACAAAGCAGGUGACGCAUCGUUUGUUGAAAUUGGUAUCGAGUACAUAAGUAUAGAGGUGGAAUACUGGAGAAAUUCUGUUGUAUGCUAUGUGUUGGGUGUUCACCCGUAUUCAAGUACGUGUAUUGAUCUUAUUUAUAUGGAAUUAAUUUUUUAUUUUAUUUAUACC